AUUAAAUAAAUGAUACUAUAGUACAUUCAAUGACGUUAUUAUUGUGGAGUAUAGGCUACUCCUGUAUCUACCUUCAUCAUUGAAUGAAGCAGAAUACCCAUCCACAUUUAUAGUGGUAGGUGUGGUGGUGGUAGGGAUGGUAGGUGUGGGGAUGGUAGGGAUGGUAGGUGUAAUGGUAAGUGGAGUGGUUGUAGGUGUGGUGAAGGUAGGUAUGGUAGGUGUGAUUAUGGUAGAUGUGGUGAUGGUAGGUGUGGUGAUGGUAAGUGUGGUGAUGUUAGGUGUGGUGACGGUAGGUGUGGUAGGUGUGGUUAUGGUAGAUGUGAUGAUGGUAGGUGUGGUGACGGUAGGUGUUGUGAUGGUAGGUGUGGUUAUGGUAGAUGCGAUGAUGGUAGGUGUGGUGAUGGCAGGUCUGAUGGUAGGUGUGGUGAAGUAAUUAUGGUAUGGUGAUGGUAGAUGUGAUAGGUGUGGUAUUGGUAUGUAUGAUGGUAUGUGUAGUGAUUGUAGGUGUGAUAGGUGUGGUGAUGGUAGGUGUAUGGAUGGUAGGUAUGGUGGGUGUGGUGAUGAUAGGUGUAAUGGUAGGUAUGGUGAUGGUAGGUGUGAUAGUUGUGGUAGGUAGGUGUGGUAGUUGUGGUAGGUAGGUAGGUAGGUUUGGUGGGUGUGGUGAUGGUACAUGAGGUAGCUGUGGUUAUGGUAGGUGUGGCGAUGGUAGGUGUGAUAGGUGUGGUGAUGGAUGGUUUGGUGAAGGUAGGUAUGGUAGGUGUGUUAGGUUUUGUGAUGUAGGUGUGAGAGAAGUGGUGAUGGUAGGUAAGUUUGGUAGGUUUGGUGAUGAUAGAUAUGGUAGGUAUGGUGAUUAUAGGUCUGGUAGUUUGGGUAGGUAGUUGUGGUAGGUUUGGUAGGUGUGGUAAGUUUGAUGAUCGUAGAUGUGAUAGUUGUGGUGUUGGUGGAUUGUAGGUGUAUUGAUGGUGGGUAGGAUAGUUGUGGUAGGUCGAUGUGGUAGUUGUGGUAGGUAGGUUUGGUAGUUGUGUUUGGUAGGUGGGGUAGUUGUGGUACAUAUGUGUGGUGGUUGUGCUAGGUAGGUUUGGUGAUGGUAGGUUUUGUAGUUGUGGUGAUGAUAGGUGUGGUAGGUGUGUUAGUUUUGGUAGGUUGGUGUGGUGGUUGUGGUACAUAGGGGCGGUAGUUGUGGUAGUUGUGGUGAUUAGGGUUGGGCGGUAUCCAGAUGUUCAUAUUGUCAUACCAUCCUUCUCUCAUACCGGGAUUUACAGUAUUACCGGCAUAGCACAUGAGUGGGUGCUAAAAACACAAGAAAAACCUAUUGCCCUCUAUUUCCAGAAUGCUAACAAAUUAGCACAAACUGAUAGCAAAUUCACAUAGACGCUGUUAGCUAAAUGCAAAACAAACUAGCUAAUUGCAAAGCAGUGGAGGCUGCUGAGGGGAAGACAACUCAUAAUAAUGUCUGGAAUGAAGUCAAUUGAGUGGUAUCAAAC
ensembl:lncRNA